CUUUUGAAAAAUAAAGACUAUCUUAUAGAGGACGCGUGCAUCUAGUGCAAAGAGGGGAAACAUAAACUAACAAAUUUUUAUUGUUUUACAUGUUAUAGCUAGUUCGACAAUGCAUGAACCUGUGUCCAGUGUAUGCCGCCUUUAGAAUCUGAAGAUGGUUAGUGUAUGGCCAAAACUGGUUAUGACUGUGUCAUAAGAAUGUGACUGCGUCUAUAAAUAAACAAAAAAAUUUUACAAAAUAAUCAAUCACUCAGUCCAUAGACAAAAAGUGUUUUUUUCUGAAAAACACUGUCCGUUGAGUGAUUUACUGAAUUUUACGGCAAAUUUGGUACCCCUCCCUUGCAUCGCUACAGAUUUGAUGUGAAAGCUAGACAGGAAGUUACCUAUCCAUUGGAGCACUGAUGACAAAUCCAGGGAGCAAACUGAAAGAUGCGGGUGGAUCUACUCUCACACUCCUGUAUGGCUGCACCCUUGUUGGUCCAGUCGAUUUUCAAGACACCAAAGGUGCUGGGUAAUGUACUCAAGCAUUAGUCAACGUCGGCCAGAGUGGCCGAGUGGUUCUAGGCGCUACAGUCCGGAACCGCGCGAGCGCUGCGGUCACAGGUUCGAAUCCU